GUUAAACAAGUGCUUGAAGGCAGUAUGCUUGGUAAAAGUCAUCGCCAUUCUCUAAUCUUGAGUACCCAGGGACACGAUACACUGCGGAAGGCUGCAGGGACCUCUGCCCAGGAAAGCCAGGUGGUUUCCAAAAGGAAAAGCUUUGGGAGAUAGAAGUCCUCGUUUUGACCUCUGCCCUCCUUGUACACCAGGAGCCAGAAAAACUUCAUCUCUUUUACAAGAAACAUUGAGAUUCCUGUAAAAUUAAGAAAUCACACAAUUUGAUGGUCUACAUUAUCUAAAGCAAAUGAGACUUCUAUUUGGAACAAAGACUACCUUGUUGGGAAAUGAGUCUGCAAGUUAAAGUGUUUUCUGAGCUCAGAUGGAAAAGAAUGGUGUUACUGAGACCCUUCAAGAUUCCCAGUGUAAUUCAAUAAAGAAAAGGCAACACAAAGGGGUUGUAUAGAAUUCGCCACAUUAUGGACCCAUGUCAUAGAGAGAAUCCACGGUGCAUUUGUUAGCUGCAUUUAAAUGACAACACUUUCAGAUCCAAGAUUUAUUUGGGAUAAAAAUUUACCUGGAUGCAAGGCUAUUCAGAAUGAAGAUUAAUGAUAUGGUUUGGCUGUGUCCCCACCCAAACUUCAUCUUGAAUUCCCACGUGUUGUGAGAGGGACCUGGUGGGAGAUAAUUGAACCAUGGGGGCAGGUCUUUCUCAUGCUGUUCUCAUGAGAGUGAAUAAGUCUCAUGAAACCUGAUGGUUUUAUAAGGGGGAAUUUCCCUGCACAAGCUCUCUCUCUGCCUUUUGCCAUCCAUGUAAGACGUGACUUGGUCCUCCUUGCCUUCUACCAUGAUUAUGAGGCCUCCCCAGCCACGUGGAACUAUGAUGCAUAUCAUAAAUUAUUACUCACCCCAUGUUCCCACCCUCGAGAGACCUCCAAACAAUCACCAUGCCACAGUGAACAUUCAGUAACAAAAAUUCAGCCAGGGUUUUCACCAGCAUGAAUGGCAGUGAUUCCAAUCAGGAAAACAGAAAGAGGAGAGUUCAGAGCCACCUAGAAUGGCUCUUGCAAGAUACGAAAUCAAGGCAGCAGCAACAGGGCUGAACAUUCCUCAUCCCUAACUCUCCCUUCACCAGUAGGAAACCCAGGAUAACUGCAAUCACCGCAGGCCCAUCUGGCCUGAAGUUCUACUACUAGUAGCCCUCCAUGGGACCUUCUUAAGGAAGCAUGUCAACUCAGGUAAGGGAUGUAAGGGGAUGGAUGACCCUUUGAGGCCAAAGUUGGAGCAAAAAACACCAGAUGUUCCUGUGCACUGCUCCUAAGAGAUGGUUCUGAAGACCAGUUCGGGGAGAGGUCAAAAUACUGGACAGAAUCUCAGCAACAUGGAACCUCAAACUAAGUGACAGUCACAGACAACUCUUCCCCAAAGAAAAUAAGCACAGACAUGGUUUGUGGUAAGCAGAAUUAUAAAGAUGAAUUCCCAUCUCCCUGUCAGAUUACCAGUAUGGUAAAUUACCAGAUUACCUGGUUAUUUAUUCAAACACUAAUACAGUUAUUGCCUUGAUGGAAACAUACAGAUACAAUUAAAAUCCCAAGUACCAAAUAAAUUGACCUUAAGACAAAGACUAAGUAAAUCACAUGAGCCCUCUACAAGCAGAGAGUUUUUCUCCAGCUGGUAGCAGAAGCCAGAGAUUUGAAGCAUAGGAAGUAUUCAACACAUUAUUGCUGGCCUGAAAAUGGAAGGGGCCACAUAACGAGGGAAACCGGUGGCCUCUAGAAGCAGGGAGCAGUCCCCUGCUGACAGACAGCAAGCCAAGACCUCAGUUCUACAAUUGCAAGACACUCAAUUCUGCUAAGGACAAAAAUGAGCUUGGAAGUGAACUCUGAGCUUCAGGUGAGAACACGGCCAAACAACACCUUGAUUUCAGCUUAAACAAAGAAUGCAGCCACUCCAUGCCAGAAUUCUGACCUGUAGAAAUUUGAGCUAAUAAAUAGAUGUUUUAAU
ensembl:lncRNA HISLA HIF1A stabilizing long noncoding RNA